rnacentral:rRNA from 1 species
AUUGAACGCUGGCGGCAGGCUUAACACAUGCAAGUCGAGCGAGUGGCGGACGGGUGAGUAAUGUCUGGGAAACUGCCUGAUGGAGGGGGAUAAAUACUGGAAACGGUAGCUAAUACCGCAUACCAUCAGAUGUGCCCAGCGGGGAUUAGCUAGUAGGUGGGGGAAUGGCUCACCUAGGCGACGAUCCCUAGCUGGUCUGAGAGGAUGACCAGCCACACGGGAACUGAGACACGGCCCAGACUCCUACGGGAGGCAGCAGUGGGGAAUAUUGCACAAUGGGCGAAAGCCUGAUGCAGCCAUGCCGCGUGAGUGAAGAAGGCCUUCGGGUUGUAAAGCACUUUCAGUGGGGAGGCGUUACUCGCAGAAGAAGCACCGGGUAACUCCGUGCCAGCAGCCGCGGUAAUAC